rnacentral:rRNA from 1 species
GACAGAGGGUGCAAACGUUGUUCGGAAUUACUGGGCGUAAAGCGCGUGUAGGCGGCCAUCUAAGUCGGGCGUGAAAUCCCACGGCUCAACCGUGGAAGUGCACUCGAAACUGGAUGGCUAGAGUCCUGGAGAGGAAGGUGGAAUGCUUGGUGUAGAGGUGAAAUUCGUAGAUAUCAAGCGGAACACCGGUGGCGAAGGCGGCCUUCUGGACAGUGACUGACGCUGAGACGCGAAAAGCGUGGGGGAGCAAACAGG